rnacentral:piRNA from 1 species
CAGCAAACAUUUUUGGAGUGCCUACACUGU